GCAUUGCCCAAAGAAAAUCUAUUCCUCCUCUUUUCCAAAAGUCAGCUGGGUCUUAUCAGCUUUGCAGAAUGAUGAAUGAAUGCCUUGUUCAUUAUUAUUGCUUAAGUCAUUCUUAUUUAUGCCAGUAAUUCAAGGAUUAUGUUUUGAUUGUUCUUGGGAGAUGAAAACACUUUCUUGCUGAUGAAUAAACACUGCCACUUUUUAAAUAUUUGUAUGCAAAAUGUCUUUAAAGCCAUUAUGAAAUGCUUUGCAAGAGCAUUAGGAAGCUGUUUUUCGAAAGGCACUUUUUUUCUCUACCUUUUCUUUCAUGCUAAGCAGUCCAAUUGAAAGGCCUUUCAGAGUUAACUUGUUUAAGCAAUACCAGUGUUUUAGCGUAAUGAAUAACUUUUUACAGAAGACAAUCACACACAAUUCAACAUGCCGGUAUUUCUAUUUCUGUGCACCACCAAUGCAGGGAUUCUGUGGUAGAAUCUCUUUCUUUGAGAAAGCUGAAGCGAUCAACACCCUGAUUAACCUCUGAUAUUCACGUGGUGCUCUUGAUCUUGAGGACUGCAGCAAUAACAAAGCGGUUUGGUGUGGAGAUUACUGGUGGAGAGUUUGAGUUGUUACUUGACAGAAUCCCCCUUGAUGAAGAUGGAAAUGUCAGAUACCUCCAGUUCACGGCCAUGUUUGAUUCUCGGGGAGGGUUAUCCAGUCUUUUUGAUGAGAAAUCUCUCUAGUGGAUGUCUCUGUGCUCUGUAAAGAGCGGUUUAUGAGAAGCCAGAAGAGUCUACACUCCCAGAAAGAAAGACCACAGCGGAGACCCCAGGAACAGCGGAACUUCUACGGACACAUCACGCGCUACGUCUUCACAGCAAUUGUUGCCCUUGCUUGUUUUAGGAAGUUACAAAAACAUUUCAAACUCACAGAAUAAUACGAGAAUGCUAAAGCAAACACUUGUUGCCCUGCUCCCCAGGCUCAACAGAUGUUAACAUUCUGCCCUAUUUGCUUCGGCUCUUUGAUCACAUUUUCAGAUGUGACCAACACCGCCUUUGUCUCUCUCCCUGAUCACACCCCGGCCGUGUCUCCCCAAGGUGGUUCUGAAGAUAACUGUAGAUUUCAAGGAAACUGUGCUUCAUUCUCUUUGUCUCCAUAAUGUGCCUGGUAGAAUCAAAGUAUCGGCCCGGUGUUGUACAGACAUGGGCCACGUGUAUGAGCGCUCACACACGUGCACACGGAGCAGAGGGUGAAGAUCGUUCAUGAAAAGGUCAACAGUUGGUGUUCGACCGAAUUUGGGAUGUUUCCUCUUUGCACUUUUAUGAAUUGUCACAUGUUCUUAUUGAUCAUAUGCUUAAGUGAUGAUAAAGUAAUAAGAAAUAAAUAAUGAUAAAAAUGUUAUGAAAUAAUAACACCUUUUACCAUUUUCAAGUAUCACAUUGUAAGGAAAAGUAUGCCAAGGCUCUUUCUAACUCCUGUAAGACUACCGGAAGCCUACCUGUAGCUACUCUUCAUGGCAGCUUCCUCUGCCAGAGGGUGUAAAUCAGUAAGAAAACAACCAGACAUUGAUGCUCAAAGGGGUCUCAGAUUAGCUCCCAGGAGAUGAACAUCAUCAUCAUCAUUUUUUUUUUAAAGUAGGCUUCAUGCCUAGUGUGGAAGCCCAACGUGGGGCUUGAACUCACGACCCCGUGAUCAAGACCUGAGCUGAGAUCAACAGUCUUAACCAGCUGAGCCACCCAGGUGCCCCAGAUGAACAUCAUUACCGAGAUUGUAUAUAUCAGCAAAUGGGAUGAGUCACGAAACCUGCAUCUGGUGAUAAAUAUCCAGACAUUUUUAAGAAUAGGGCUGGGGCAGAGGAGAAGAUCUCAGAAAAGUGUUAAGGAACUGGAAGAUAUUGAUAAGAAGAAAUGCCAAGAUCUGGUAUCUCCGAUGACACCUUAUGAGUGAGGACUGUUCUAAGUGCGCUGAGAGGACAGUCUCUGAUAAAUGUGAAUGAGGCGAGGUAGUCGGCUUUUCCACGGAAGCAGGGAGGAGGCCUGUCCAACAGAGCUGCCAGCCUAAUGUCACCUUCAUGCAAAGCUAAAAAGGCCACCCCCACCCCUGGGUGGACACAGCUCUUGGCAGGACACAGCACUUAGAGUGCAGGCUGGUUUCAGCCCGUUUCCCCCUUUUUCCUGGUGCCUUUGUACAAUGCCAGUGUGUGCAGCUGUACACGGUCUCCAAGUACAGCCUCUUCUAUGCUCCUUCAGCGUCAUGCCCUCUUUUAUCUGGUUCCGUGGAAGUGGCCUCUCACUUCACAAGAUAGGUCUGGCACUUGGGUGUGAGCCCUGAGGAAAGCAGGCUUUGGACUGUUUUCACAGCCUACUUUGGUUCUGAUCAGACUUGGUGAAAGGAAAUUCUUCAAGCUGAGUCUUGCUCACUCAAGCUCUGCUUAGUGGUAGGGUGGAAUCUUUUGCUUGUUAGAAGCAUCCGUUUGCUGUGUCUCAUCCUCUUUGCCUUCAUCUUCCCUCAGAAUCCCUUGAAAAUGGGUGGUCUAGGGCAGGGUUAGGAUAUUCUUAUUUCUCAUAUCAUUCCUUAGUCAUAACCCAACACCUCAACAUUUGUCAUCGCGAGCACCCAUUUAGACAGAACUCACUGAAGGAACUCAACAGAAGGAGUAUCUCAUCUGCUCUUAAAGCAAACGAUAAAAUGUCCUUGGCCUGGUGGGGCAGAGUAAAAGGCAAUGUCCUGACCCAUCCCUACUGGGGAACCAAGGGGGAGGAUGAGUGGGAAAGAUCCUGAGCUCCUUCUAGAGGCCAACUGGGCCUCCAUUCUCUUCCUCUAAACGUACAGGCCCUCUUCUGGAUCUCAUUCCCCUAGUAACAAGAGUGGUAAGCAUGUCCAUGGGCCAAACUCCGGCCUGACCAGCAGAGUCUCACUCUGUACAGGCUUCUCACCUCUCGGUAGGGUAGUUAACAAGCAGGGAAAGAAGGACUGGGGUAACCAUUGGGUUUGUUACUCAGCUGGUGGUCGGAAUAGUACUUAGUGUAUGAGAAAAGCCUGCCAGAGGCCAUUUCUUCUUUAAAAAAAAUUUUUUUUAACAUUUAUUUAUUAUUGAGAGACAGACACAGAGUGUGAGCAGGAGAGGGGUAGAGGGAGGGAGAGACACAGAAUCCAAAGUAGGCUCCAGGCUCUGAGCUGUCAGCACAGAGCCCGAUGCAGGGAUUGAACUCACGAACUGUGAGAUCAUGACCUGAGCCAAAGCCUAUCGCCCAACCAACUGAGCCACCCAGACGCCCCUGCCAGAGGCCAUUUCUGUCAGAUAUAUUAUCAGUCAACUGAGCUGGAUGACAGGAGAUAGCUAUCCAUGUGGUAAGUGCGGGCCAUAUUACACUUGUCAAUUCCACGACUGCUGUUCCUUCUUGUGAGUUUACUACUUGCUUUGUUGUUCUUGUAGAUGCUGCUAUUAAGUGAAUUUCUGUCACCAAGGAACUUUUUGUGGUGUUUAUCUGUGAUUCCUCAAGAUAACUAUAUUUGGAAGUUUCUGGUGAAUUUUAAUUGUCUUAUGUAACCUAAAUAAAAGUUGGAAGU